rnacentral:misc_RNA from 1 species
AAGUCGUAACAAGGUCUCCGUUGGUGAACCAGCGGAGGGAUCAUUACUGAGUGUAAAAACUCCCAAACCCAUUGUGAACAUACCACUGUUGCUUCGGCGGAUGCGCCCCGGGCGCGCUCCUCACAGGGCGUGCCCCGGAACCAGGGGCCCGCCGGGGGACCGAAACUCUUGUUUUUAUAGGAUCUCUGAGUGUGAUUAUAAAAUAAAUCAAAACUUUCAACAACGGAUCUCUUGGCUCUA